UGGCAAACAAAGGCACGUGGGUGUUUCAAAGGGGGAGCUAUGGGAGCUGCUUGGACUGACGGGGCUUGUGCUGGUGGUAGUGGGUGUUAUGGUGGCUGUAGGGCUCUGUGGUAUGGGUUAUAGUGGCCGUAGGUCUCUGCGGCAGUUGUUAUGGUGGCUAUAGGGCUCUGGCAGCGGUGGUUAUGGUGGCUAUAGGGCUCUGUGGUAGUGGUUAUGGUGGCUGUCAGGCUCUGCGGCAGUGGUUAUGGUGUCUGUAGGGCUCUGUGGUAGUGGUUAUGGUGGCCGUAGGGCUCUGGCGGUGGUUAUGGUGGCUGUAAGGCUCUGCGGCAGUGGUUAUGGUGGCUGUAGGGCUCUGUGGUAGUGGUUAUGGUGGCCGUAGGGCUCUGGCAGCCGUGGUUAUGGUGGCCGUAGGGCUCUGGCAGCGGUGGUUAUGGUGGCCGUAGGGCUCUGGCAGUGGUGGUUAUGGUGGCCGUAGGUCUCUGUGGCGGUGGUUAUGGCCGUAGGGCUCUGGCGUGGUUAUGGUGGCCGUAGGAUUUCGGCAGUGGUUAUGGUGGCUGUAGGGCUCUGUGGUAGUGGUUAUGGUGGCUAUAGGGGUCUGGCAGUGGUGGUUAUGGUGGCUGUAGGGCUCUGUGGUAGUGGUUAUGGUGGCUGUAGGGCUCUGUGGUAUGGGUUAUAGUGGCCGUAGGGCUCUGGCAGCGGUGGUUAUGGUGGCUAUAGGGCUCUGGCAGCGGUGGUUAUGGUGGCUAUAGGGCUCUGUGGUAGUGGUUAUGGUGGCUGUAAGGCUCUGCGGUAGUGGUUAUGGUGUCUGUAGGGCUCUGUGGUAGUAGUUAUGGUGGCCAUAGGGCUCUGGCGGUGGUUAUGGUGGCUGUAAGGCUCUGCGGCAGUGGUUAUGGUGGCUGUAGGGCUCUGUGGUAGUGGUUAUGGUGGCCGUAAGGCUCUGGCAGCGGUGGUCUAUGGGUGGCCGUAGGUGGCUCUGUGGCGGUGGUUAUGGUGGCUGUAGGUCUCUGUGGUAGUGGUUAUGGUGGCUGUAGGGCUCUGUGGUAGUGGUUAUGGUGGCUGUAGGGCUCUGUGGUAGUGGUUAUGGUGGCUAUGGGGCUCUGGCAGUGGUGGUUAUGGUGGCUGUAGGGCUCUGGUAAAGGUUAUGGUGGCUGUAGGGCUCUGGCAGCGGUGGUUAUGGUGGCUGUAUGGCUCUGUGGUAGUGGUUAUGGUGGCUGUAGGGCUCUCUGGCAGUGGUGGUUAUGGUGGCUGUAGGGCUCUGGCAGCGGUGGUUAUGGUGGCUGUAGGGCUCUGGCAGCGGUGGUUAUGGUGGCUGUAGGGCUCUGGCAGCGGUGGUUAUGGUGGCUGUAGGGCUCUGGCAGUGGUGGUUAUGGUGGCCGUAGGGCUCUGUGGUAGUGGUUAUGGUGGCUAUAGGGCUCUGGCAGUGGUGGUUAUGGUGGCUGUAGGGCUCUGUGGUAGUGGUUAUGGUGGCUGUAGGGCUCUGGUAAAGGUUAUGGUGGCUGUAGGGCUCUGGCAGCGGUGGUUAUGGUGGCUGUAUGGCUCUGUGGUAGUGGUUAUGGUGGCUGUAGGGCUCUGGCAGUGGUGGUUAUGGUGGCUGUAGGGCUCUGUGGUAGUGGUUAUGGUGGCUGUAGGGCUCUGGCGGUGGUGGUUAUGGUGGCUGUAGGGCUCUGGCUUUUUUUACAGUAAGAGCAAUAAGGAUGUGGAAUUCUCUGCCUGAAGAGGUGGUUUUAUCAGAGUCGAUACAGAUGUUUAAACAGCAAUUGGACAAAUCCUUCCAAAAACAUAACAUACAGGGAUAUAAUUUCUAAUUCGUGGGGUAAUAGUUGCUUGAUCCAAGGAGAUUUCUGACUUCCAUUUUGGGGUCAUGAAUGAUUUAUUUCCUAGUUUGUUGCAAAAUUGGAAGCGCUUCAGACAGUGUUUUUUGCCUUCUUUUGGAUCAACAAAAACAUAUGUGAGAGAGGCUGAACUUGAUGGAUGCAAGUCUCUUUACGGUGGCUGUAGGGCCCUCUGGCAGUGUUUAUGGUUGUUGUAGGGCUCUGGUUGUGGGAGUUAUGGUGGCUGUAGGGCUCUCUGGCAGUAGGGCUCUGUGGCGGUGGUAUUAUGGUGGCUGUAGGGCUCUGUGGCAACUGUAGUUAUGGUGACUGUAGGGCUCUGUGGUCUGGUACAGUGGCAGUGAUGGCUGUAGGGUUAUGGAGGCAGUGAUACUGCCAUUCUUCUAUAGUGUCUUGGUUUCCAGACGACCACUGCUUUAUAUUUUUUACACUCCGUUUUCAUGUUUAUUUUAUGUAUGUACCUGGAC